CCCAGCAAGGUGAUCGUCACCAAGCUCAAGCUCGACAAGGACCGCAAGGCCCUCCUCGACCGCAAGGCUCGCGGCCGCGCUGCUGACAAGGCCAAGGGCAAGUUCACGGCCGAGGACGUCGCCGCCGCCGCUGGGGGUGCCACGGCCACCGGCGCCUCGCUCCAGGAGAUCGAUUAAGCUCGGUGGAUCUGCCGGUUGCCAUACUGCUCUUGCUAUCCUAGUUUUUUAAUAUCACCAGUCCUGUUAGGAUAUGCUACCUGAAAUAUGCUCCUUUAUCAUUCGUAAGAUGUUCGAUGGUGACGUUUGGGAACCUUUAUUAAUGUGAAUCUAUCAUGUGGCUGUGCGUUGGAUUUUGAUAUAAAGUCUUCGUUAUAUGUUUAAUAUCUGGUUCGUUGUUUGUCGUUUAGAUCUGGUUCAUGUUAUUAUGUUCUCUCUACCUGUGUGCACCUGUAGAGAUUAAAAUCACCACCCGUUAGUUCU
rnacentral:lncRNA from 1 species